rnacentral:pre_miRNA from 1 species
CUUGUACUCCCUCCGUCAGAAAAUACUUGUCAUUGAAAUGGAUGUAUCUAGAUGUAUUUUAGUUCUAGACACAUCCAUUUUGAUGACAAGUAAUUCCGGAUGGAGGGAGUACUUG